rnacentral:rRNA from 1 species
GAUGAACGCUGGCGGCGUGCCUAAUACAUGCAAGUCGAGCGAACGGACGAGAAGCUUGCUUUUCUGAUGUUAGCGGCGGACGGGUGAGUAACACGUGGAUAACCUACCUAUAAGACUGGGAUAACUUCGGGAAACCGGAGCUAAUACCGGAUAAUAUUUUGAACCGCAUGGUUCAAUAGUGAAAGACGGUCUUGCUGUCACUUAUAGAUGGAUCCGCGCUGCAUUAGCUAGUUGGGAAGGUAACGGCUUACCAAGGCAACGAUGCAUAGCCGACCUGAGAGGCGGAUCGGCCACCUGGGAGCUGAGACAGGGUCCAGACUCCUACGGGAGGCAGCAGUAGGGAACCGUCCGCAAUGGGCGAGAGCAUGACGGAGCAACGCGGCGUGAGUGAUGAAGGUCUUCGGAUCGUAAAACUCUGUUAUUAGGGAAGAACAUAUGUGUAAGUAACUGUGCACAGUUUGACGGUACCUAAUCAGAAAGCAACGGCUAACUACGUG